rnacentral:rRNA from 1 species
GGGGAAUAUUGCACAAUGGGCGAAAGCCUGAUGCAGCGACGCCGCGUGGAGGAUGAAGGCCUUCGGGUCGUAAACUCCUGUCUGGGGGGAUGAACACUGACAGUACCCCCGGAGGAAGCCCCGGCUAACUACGUGCCAGCAGCCGCGGUAAUACGUAGGGGGCGAGCGUUGUCCGGAAUUACUGGGCGUAAAGCGCGCGCAGGCGGCUUGUUAAGUCAGGUGUCAAAAUGCGGGGCUCAACCGCGUAUCGCACUUGAAACUGGCAGGCUGGAGUGCAGGAGAGGGAAGUGGAAUUCCUAGUGUAGCGGUGAAAUGCGUAGAUAUUAGGAGGAACACCAGUGGCGAAGGCGACUUCCUGGACUGUAACUGACGCUCAGGCGCGAAAGCUAGGGGAGCAAAC